rnacentral:rRNA from 1 species
CGUGUAGGCGGCCUUGUAAGUCGGGCGUGAAAGCCCUGGGCUCAACCCAGGAAGUGCGUUCGAUACUGCUCGGCUCGAGUACGGGAGAGGGUAGUGGAAUUCCCGGUGUAGAGGUGAAAUUCGUAGAUAUCGGGAGGAACACCAGUGGCGAGGCGGCUACCUGGACCGAUACUGACGCUGAGACGCGAAAGCGUGGGGAGCAAACA